rnacentral:rRNA from 1 species
CCUACGGGAGGCUGCAGUGGGGAAUAUUGCACAAUGGGGGAAACCCUGAUGCAGCGACGCCGCGUGAGUGAAGAAGUAUUUCGGGAUGUAAAGCUCUAUCAGCAGGGAAGAAAAUGACGGUACCUGAUUAAGAAGCCCCGGCUAACUACGUGCCAGCAGCCGCGGUCAUACGGAGGGGGCAAGCGUUAUCCGGAUGUACUGGGGGUAAAGGGAGCGGAGACGGCAGCGCAAGUCUGAAGUGAAAUGCCGGGGCUUAACCCCGGAACUGCAUUGGAAACUGUGCAGCUAGAGUGCAGGAGAGGUAAGUGGAAUUCCUGGUGUAGCGGUGAAAUGCGUAGAUAUUAGGAGGAACACCAGUGGCGAAGGCGGCUUACUGGACUGUAACUGACGUUGAGGCUCGAAAGCGUGGGGAGCAAACAGGAUUAGAUACCCGGGUAGUC